AACACCCACUAGUUAUGGAGAUAAACAUUACUCUGCAGUGUGCUGAAGUUUAACUCUGUCUUGGAACAGAACAGCACUUAGCAAAGAAAUCCUGUGGAAAAUCACAAGGAUGGAAUGCUCGGAGUUCUUGAAGGAUUUUUCUGCCACAGUGGAAGAAUCUGCCUCGCUUCCUCACAGUCUUCCUGACACCUUUACACAAAAAGUCAGCCCAUCUGUGAUGUUUCCUGCCAUAUUGCUGUCUGCUAGUAAGGCUUCCAGCUCCUCCCCAGCUCUGCUAUGCCAGUAGUGAUGGGCUUCAGUGUCUGUAGAAAGCUUCCUACUUCAGUCUGCACCAUUGGAUUCUGCUGCUGUGUGUUGUGGAUGUUCUUCACUGAAGCCCUGGUAUAUAACCACCUUGUCUGCUGACUGAUGCAGGACUCUCUUGGUGAUCUCCGUCUGUCUCAUUUUAUGCUAAUUAUGGCUGACUAGUGACAUGGAGAAGUUUCAUAAAUCCAGAUUAGCUUGUGUAUGCCUGAGAUCUAGCAGGAGCCUUGAAUAUCACACACAAUUAUUUCAUUAAUCCAUGAUGGGGCUGUCUCAAGGGAUUUGAGGCUUGUUAGGAUUUUCAAGACAGGCUUUCUCUGUGUAGCUUUGGUUAUCCUGGAACUCUCUAUAUACAUCAGGCUGGCCUCAAAACUCACAGAGAUCUGCCUUCUUCUGCUUCCAG
rnacentral:lncRNA from 1 species